UAAUUCUUACAUGACAACUAACACACAGGG
rnacentral:piRNA from 1 species